GUAGGUGGCAAGCGUUGUCCGGAAUUAUUGGGCGUAAAGCGCGCGCAGGCGGUUCUUUAAGUCUGAUGUGAAAGCCCACGGCUCAACCGUGGAGGGUCAUUGGAAACUGGAGAACUUGAGUACAGAAGAGGAAAGCGGAAUUCCACGUGUAGCGGUGAAAUGCGUAGAGAUGUGGAGGAACACCAGUGGCGAAGGCGGCUUUCUGGUCUGUAACUGACGCUGAUGCGCGAAAGCGUGGGGAGCAAACAGGAUUAGAUACCCUGGUAGUCCACGCCGUAAACGAUGAGUGCUAAGUGUUAGGGGGUUUCCGCCCCCCUUAGUGCUGCAGCUAACGCAUUAAGCACUCCGCCUGGGAGUACGGCCGCAAGGCUG
rnacentral:rRNA from 1 species